rnacentral:rRNA from 1 species
UGAACUAGGCAAAAUAGUACCGUAACUUCGGGAGAAGGUACGCUGUUGAGGGUUAAGUAUUUACUACGUCAGCCCUUGGCAGCCUCAGUAACCAGGCCGCUGCAACUGUUUAUUAAAAACACAGCACUCUGCAAACACGAAAGUGGACGUAUAGGGUGUGAUGCCUGCCCGGUGCCGGAAGGUUAAUUGAUGGGGUUAGCGAAAGCGAAGCUCUUGAUCGAAGCCCCGGUAAACGGCGGCCGUAACAAUAACGGUCCUAAGGUAGCGAAAUUCCUUGUCGGGUAAGUUCCGACCUGCACGAAUGGCAUAAUGAUGGCGGCGCUGUCUCCACCAGAGACUCAGUGAAAUCGAAAUCGCGGUGAAGAUGCCGUGUACCCGUGGCUAGACGGAAAGACCCCGUGAACCUUUACUGCAGCUUUGCACUGGACUUUGACCUUACUUGUGUAGGAUAGCUGGGAGGCUUUGAAGUGCGGACGCCAGUUCGCGUGGAGCCAAUCUUGAAAUACCAGCCUGGUAAUGUCGAGGUUCUAACCAAGGUCCGUAAUCCGGAUCUGGGACAGUGUAUGGUGGGUAGUUUGACUGGGGCGGUCUCCUCCUAAAGAGUAACGGAGGAGUACGAAGGUGCGCUCAGCGUGGUCGGAAAUCACGCACUGAGUAUAAAGGCAAAAGCGCGCUUAACUGCGAGGCCGACAAGCCGAGCAGGUACGAAAGUAGGUCUUAGUGAUCCGGUGGUUCUGUAUGGAAGGGCCAUCGCUCAACGGAUAAAAGGUACUCUGGGGAUAACAGGCUGAUACCGCCCAAGAGUUCAUAUCGACGGCGGUGUUUGGCACCUCGAUGUCGGCUCAUCUCAUCCUGGGGCUGAAGCAGGUCCCAAGGGUAUGGCUGUUCGCCAUUUAAAGAGGUACGCGAGCUGGGUUUAGAACGUCGUGAGACAGUUCGGUCCCUAUCUACCAUGGGCGUUGGAGACUUGAGAGGAUCUGCUUCUAGUACGAGAGGACCGAAGUGGACAUACCUCUGGUGUUCCGGUUGUCUCGCCAGUGGCACUGCCGGGUAGCUAUGUAUGGAAGGGAUAACCGCUGAAAGCAUCUAAGCGGGAAGCCCACCUCAAGAUAAGGUCUCCCUGGGAACUUGAUUCCCCUGAAGGGCCGUCGGAGACUACGACGUUGAUAGGUUCGGUGUGGAAGCGCGGCGACGCGUGCAGCUAACGAAUACUAAUUGCCCGUGAGGCUUGACU